GACGAACGCUGGCGGCGUGCCUAAUACAUGCAAGUCGAACGCAGUUGGGACGGGUGAGUAACACGUGGGUAACCUCCCAUCAGAGGGGAUAACUAUUGGAAACAGGUGCUAAACCGACAGUGCUGGAUGGACCGGCGGGGCAUUAGCUAGUUGGUGAGGUAACGGCUCACCAAGGCCACGAUGCAUAGCCGAGCUGAGAGGGUGAUCGGCCACACUGGGACUGAGACACGGCCCAGACUCCUACGGGAGGCAGCAGUAGGGAAUCUUCGACAAUGGACGAAAGUCUGACCGAGCAACGCCGCGUGAGUGAAGAAGGUUUUCGGAUCGUAAAGCUCUGUUGUUAGAGAAGCGGUAUCUAACCAGAAAGCCACGGCUAACUACGUGCCAGCAGCCGCGGUAAUAC
rnacentral:rRNA from 1 species